rnacentral:piRNA from 1 species
UCCGUGCUGAUGUUCCAUGGAGGCCAGU